GAUGAACGCUAGCGGCAGGCCUAAUACAUGCAAGUCGAACGGUGUCUUCGGACAUAGUGGCGCACGGGUGCGUAACACGUAUGCAACCUACCUUACAUUGGGGGAUAGCCUUUCGAAAGGGAGAUUAAUACCGCAUAAGACAGUAGCUGGGCAUCCAGCAGCUGUUAAAGAUUUAUCGAUGUAAGCUGGGCAUGCGUCCAAUUAGCUAGUUGGUGAGGUAAAGGCUAACCAAGGCAAGGAUUGGUAGGGGAACUGAGAGGUCAAUCCCCCACCCUGGCACUGAGAUACGGGCCAGACUCCUACGGGAGGCAGCAGUAGGGAAUAUUGGGCAAUGGACGCAAGUCUGACCCAGCCAUGCCGCGUGCAGGAUGAAGGCGUUAUGCGUUGUAAACUGCUUUUAUACAGGAAGAAACGACUCUUGCGAGAGGCAUUGACGGUACUGUAUGAAUAAGCACCGGCUAACUCCGUGCCAGCAGCCGCCGUAAAAC
rnacentral:rRNA from 1 species